GCCAGCAUGGCAUAGUGGUUUGAGCAUUGGACUAUGACUUUGGUGACCAGGGUUUGAAUCCCUGCUCAGCCA